rnacentral:rRNA from 1 species
AUUGAACGCUGGCGGCGGGCCUAACACAUGCAAGUCGAGCGGAUGAAGGGGGCUUGCUCCUGGAUUCAGCGGCGGACGGGUGAGUAAUGCCUAGGAAUCUGCCUGGUAGUGGGGGAUAACGUCCGGAAACGGGCGCUAAUACCGCAUACGUCCUGAGGGAGAAAGUGGGGGAUCUUCGGACCUCACGCUAUCAGAUGAGCCUAGGUCGGAUUAGCUAGUUGGUGGGGUAAAGGCCUACCAAGGCGACGAUCCGUAACUGGUCUGAGAGGAUGAUCAGUCACACUGGAACUGAGACACGGUCCAGACUCCUACGGGAGGCAGCAGUGGGGAAUAUUGGACAAUGGGCGAAAGCCUGAUCCAGCCAUGCCGCGUGUGUGAAGAAGGUCUUCGGAUUGUAAAGCACUUUAAGUUGGGAGGAAGGGCAGUAAGUUAAUACCUUGCUGUUUUGACGUUACCAACAGAAUAAGCACCGGCUAACUUCGUG